rnacentral:lncRNA from 1 species
GUCUACCCUCCAGGGGUCCUGCUGGGUAGGACUCAAACCCCAUACUAGUUCUCUCACUCUCUCGAUAGUUGCUCCGUGAGAAACACACAUCCUUUGCUCCCGCAGGAGUGCUUGCCAUCCAACACAACCAUCUCUUCUUCACUCCCACCACCAGAAGAGCUGGCCAAGCUAGCUUUCUCCAUCGAGAUUUCCCACUGUGUGACUCCUAAAUUCAAGAAACAUAUAUCCAGUUUUGGGUGGUCCUGUUGAAACUCUUCUCAGAAGGUUUGAGAUGAGUUUCAGACACUCCCCUCCCCCACCAACAUACGCACACACACACACACACACAAACACUUUGUGGACACACAUGGUGGGUACUCACACCAUAGCAAUAGUUCUCUUCAAAGAAAUUCUUCCCUGAUUCCUCUUUCUUAACUUUCAAAACUGGCCCUUUUCAUUCUCUAGAGGUAGAUGUAACCUUUUCAUAACCAUGUCUUUUAGAAAUUUGCAUCUUGAUCUGGUACCUCACUUUGAAAUGUCAUAUCUGUCGAAUCAUAGUGACAGCUGAAACUUAAUGAUUUAGCAUUUAUACAAGCUUUUAUAAACCUUGUUUUCAAAUAGUAUUUAUCUUGAUAAUGAUCCUAUGUCAUUCUUUAUUUUUGAAAAUAUGACUUUUAAUGGUAUUUUAGUACUAAAAUUAGUUUCAUUUGCUGCUGUUACAAAUUAUCCCAAACUUUAUGACUUAAAGCAACACAAAUUUAUUAUCUUGUAGUUCUGAGGUCAGAAGUCCUAAACCAGUCUCAGUGGGCUAGAAUCAAAGCAUUGGCAGGGCUGUGUUCCUUCUGAAACCUUUUAGGGGACACUCUGUUGCCUUGCCUUUUCCAGCUGCCUGUGUUCCUUGGCUUGUGGCCCUACAUCGCUCCAACCUCUGUUUCUAUCAUCAUAUCGCUUCUCUCCCUCUGCUUCCAUUGCCACACUGCCUGCUCUGAGUCUGAUCCUCUUGCCUCCCUGUUAUGACCCUUGUGAUUACAUUGUACUCACCCAGAUAAUCCAGGACAAUCUCUCCAUCUGGAGAUCCUUAACCAUAUCUACAAAUUCCCAUUUGCCAUGUAAGGUAACAUAUUCACAAGAUUAGGACCUUGAUGUUUUCUGGGGGGCAGAAAAAAACAUUAUACAGCCUACAAACUACUAUAUGUUUUGGAUAUUUCACAAUUUAACUAAUUUUACUUUCAAUUCUUUAUUCUAAAUAUUAUAAACAGCGCUGGAUUGAGUUUCCUUAGAAAUGAAAACAUGUUUAUGAGUUUCUCUGAUGGUUUCCUCAGUGUAAAUUCCUAGAAGUGGAAUUAUUGGGCCAUAACAUUCCUUUCCAAGACUGUAUUGGAGAUUCAAUAAGAUAUGGAAAAAAUACCUAAGACAGUGCCUGGUAGACAGCAGGCACCGGAGAUGGAAGACAGCCCGUCUGCAUUACAGUAGUCCCCCUUGUUGUGGGGGAUACGUUCCAAGACCCCCAGUGGACGCCUGAAACUACCACAGUUGACAGCAGGUUACCAAAACCGCAAAAAGUGAAACCUCAAAUAAGGGGGCACUACUGAAGUUUUGUUCUGCAAAAUGUGGGUUGGAAACCUGCAUAAUGAGUUUUCAUAAGAAAGGCAAGACUUGCUGAUGACCUCUGUGGACUUCAAUUUCUUCCUCUAUUUAUAUGCAAACUAAAUAGUAUGGUCUCUCCUAGUGGGGAAAACUCUGAAAAUUCCAUGCCUCUCUAAUCACAGCCACUAGAGCUCCCAUUUCUCAGAUUCUCUUGCAAAGUGGAUGUCAAGGCAGCUCUCUCCUCUGUAGGAUUGCUACAGAAGGAAGAGAAGCCCCUGGAAGCCUGGCAGAAGCUGCAUUUUCCUCCGUGGCCCCUCCUCCGGAGCUGCGCUGCGCUGCGUGUUGUUGCAGUUGUACUGUACUGUUCUACCGCAUGGAUUCAUAGUUAACAUUUUUCUUCCAGGCACAUUCAAAACAUUUGGCUUGCAUCCUCCUUGAGCUGUUUUAUAAGGGCAAUAACCGAGGCCAGGGUGUGCUCUUGUCAGCAGGCAAAGCACGCAGCGGAGGCUGCCAAAGAGUUUCCUGCUCAGGGGCCACCCAUCCUUGGCUGCAGGACACAAGGCUGGAGCUCAUGGCAACUUGCACAGAGCGAGCGCCGGGACUUUCUGUUCUCAGGGCUCAUGCUUUGGAUUCCAGCCUUCAGCCCUGCUGCAUUGAUCAGUGGAGGCUGUUGUGUUUGUGCUUGUUUGGGACGAGCUCAGAACACAUGUCACAGCAGUGGUUCAAGGCCUAGCUCUAAGGCUUGGAGCUGGGAGAAUGCUCUUUAAAGACUAGCAAGCCGCUCUUCCCGCCUGUUAAUGCAGGCACAGAGUUCCCACGGAUCAGCUGCAGGGGAGAAAGGCAUUCCCUUCAUCCCACUCUCUGUGAAUUAACUUCGGGAAGGACAGACAACACAGACGCCAAAUGGAGGGUUCCAACACUGCUACCCCACCCUCUCUGAAGUCCACCUUGGCAGAAGCGGAUCUCUUCUCAUGUGUUAUUUAUUGCCAAAGACCGUGACCGGGAGAAUCCGCAAUAGAUCCCUGAAGCUGUUUUUUCAGGAUUUCCUUUGAUUGGAAGCUCUUGGCUGUGCCUUCUGCAGCUGGCUCUGUCACAGAGCUGAGGGCUCAGAGUGUCCCCCAAGUGACAGCUGCCAUGCCAGCACAAAGGAGGGUCUGGCUGUGAAAGUGCCUUGAUGCUCUAAAGAACACACAAAUGGACAGGGUAUUGUUACUCCUUCACUCACCAGCAGGGAGGCAAUGCGAUGUCAUGAGCGGAAGGAACACGGGCUCAAGCCCCAGAGACGCAAGUUGAAAUGUCAGCUCUUCCACUGACCCACAGUGUGGGCUUGGUCUCAGUCUUCUCGUCUGUAAAAUGGCAAUGAAAAGAUUUACCCCCAAACUUUCAGCCAAGAAUCAAUAAGACACAGCAUGCAAUGUUCAGCUCCUUUCCUCUAAAUUCCAAACUUAGUCUGGAAAUUUUAAAGCCGUUUAGAUGACCCUAAAUACUUUCUUUAUCUUUUUCAUUUAUCCAUUAUUCAUUCUGUCAGCAUUCAAUAAAUAAGAAAGAAUAUUUCAG